AUUGAACGCUGGCGGCAUGCUUACACAUGCAAGUCGAACGGCAGCACAGGGAGCUUGGCUCCCGGGUGGCGAGUGGCGCACGGGUGAGUAAUACAUCGGAACGUGUCCUGUUGUGGGGGAUAACUGCUCGAAAGGGUGGCUAAUACCGCAUGAGACCUGAGGGUGAAAGCGGGGGAUCGCAAGACCUCGCGCAAUUGGAGCGGCCGAUGCCCGAUUAGCUAGUUGGUGAGGUAAAGGCUCACCAAGGCGACGAUCGGUAGCUGGUCUGAGAGGACGACCAGCCACACUGGGACUGAGACACGGCCCAGACUCCUACGGGAGGCAGCAGUGGGGAAUUUUGGACAAUGGGGGCAACCCUGAUCCAGCCAUGCCGCGUGCAGGAUGAAGGCCUUCGGGUUGUAAACUGCUUUUGUCAGGGACGAAAAGGACCGUGUUAAUACCAUGGUCUGCUGACGGUACCUGAAGAAUAAGCACCGGCUAACUACGUG
rnacentral:rRNA from 1 species